AGUCGAGGGGAAACGACGGGGAAGCUUGCUUCCCCGGGCGUCGACCGGCGCACGGGUGAGUAACGCGUAUCCAACCUGCCUCUGACUGAGGGAUAACCCGUCGAAAGUCGGCCUAAUACCUCAUGGCAUCGUCUGCGGGCAUCCAACGACGAUUAAAGAUUUCAUCGGUCAGAGAUGGGGAUGCGUCUGAUUAGCUAGUUGGCGGGGUAACGGCCCACCAAGGCGACGAUCAGUAGGGGUUCUGAGAGGAAGGUCCCCCACAUUGGAACUGAGACACGGUCCAAACUCCUACGGAAGGCAGCAGUGAGGAAUAUUGGUCAAUGGGCGAGAGCCUGAACCAGCCAAGUAGCGUGCAGGAAGACGGCCCUAUGGGUUGUAAACUGCUUUUAUGCGGGGAUAAAGUGAGGGACGUGUCCUUCAUUGCAGGUACCGCAUGAAUAAGGACCGGCUAAUUCCGUGCCAGCAGCCGCGGUAAUACGGAAGGUCCGGGC
rnacentral:rRNA from 1 species